rnacentral:rRNA from 1 species
AGAAUCAACGCUGGCGGCGUGCCUAACACAUGCAAGUCGAACGAGAAAGUGGAGCAAUCCAUGAGUAAAGUGGCGCACGGGUGAGUAACACGUGACUAACCUACCCAUAAGUGGGGGAUAACCUCGGGAAACCGUGGCUAAUACCGCAUAAUACCCACGGGUCAAAGCAGCAAUGCGCUUGGAGAGGAGUUCGCGGCAGAUUAGUUAGUUGGCGGGGUAAUGGCCCACCAAUACGAUGAGUCUGUA